AUGGAAGCACCCGGGAAGCAGCACUGGGCAAUCAUCAGACAGAUCUUGAGGUACAUUCGAGGCACACCGAACUACGGGUGCACUUACAAGGCAAGAGAGGGAACUGUUCUGACAGGGUUCAGCGACAGCGACCAUGCCGGCGAUCUGACAGACAGAAAGAGCACUACAGGUCUGGUGUUCUUCAUGGGGCCUAGUGUCAUCACUUGGUGCUCUCAGAAACAAAAGAUCGUGGCUUUGUCUUCCUGUGAGGCUGAGUAUAUAGCAGCAGCUACGACAGCAACACAGGCAGUUUGGCUCAGCGGACUGGUUUCAAAAAUGCUUGGAACAGAGAAGCAGAAAGUACAGCUCAAGAUUGACAACAAGUCAGCAAUCGAAUUAAGCAAAAAUCCAGUACACCAUGAGAGGAGUAAACACAUUGAUUUGAGGUAUCACUACAUCAGAGAGUGUGUUGAAGAAAGAAAAGUGGAGGUUGAGCAUGUCCGAACUGAAGAUCAGUUGGCUGAUAUACUGACAAAGUCACUUGGGCAUGCAAAGUUCACAGAACUCCGGUGCAGGCUUGGGAUCAUUCAGGUCAAGGGAGAGCAACAGGAUUAG
rnacentral:rRNA from 1 species